rnacentral:rRNA from 1 species
AUUGAACGCUGGCGGCAGGCCUAACACAUGCAAGUCGAGCGGAUGAAGGGAGCUUGCUCCUGGAUUCAGCGGCGGACGGGUGAGUAAUGCCUAGGAAUCUGCCUGGUAGUGGGUGAUAACGUCCGGAAACGGGCGCUAAUACCGCAUACGUCCUGAGGGAGUAAGGGGGGGAUCUUCGGACCUCACGCUAUCACAUGAGCCUAGGUGGGAUUAGCGAGUUGGUGGGGUAAAGGCCUACCAAGGCGACGAUCCGUAACUGGUCUGAGAGGAUGAUCAGCCACACUGGAACUGAGACACGGUCCAGACUCCUACGGGAGGCAGCAGUGGGGAAUAUUGGACAAUGGGCGAAAGCCUGAUCCAGCCAUGCCGCGUGUGUGAAGAAGGUCUUCGGAUUGUAAAGCCCUUUUAGUUGGGAAGAAGAGCAGUAAGUUAAUACCUUGCUGUUUUGACGUUACCCAAAGAAUAAGCACCGGCUAACUUCGUG